AUGGGAGCCGUUUUUGCUUUAUUUGUUGGAUUUUACUAUUGGGUGGGGAAAAUCUUUGGUCAGACAUAUCCUAAAACUUUAGGCCAAAUCCAUUUUUGGAUCACUUUUUUCGGCGUUAAUCUGACCUUCUUUCCCAUGCAUUUCUUAGGGAUUUCGGGUAUGCCACGUCGCAUGCCAGAUUAUACAAAUGCUUACGCCGCAUGGAAUGCUCUGAGCAGUUUUGGUUCUUAUAUAUCAGUAGUUGCGAUUCAUCGUUUCUUCGUAGUUGUCGCAAUCACUUCAAGUAGUGGCAAGAACCAAAAAUGUGUGGAAAGUCCUUGGGCUGUUGAACAGAAUCCGACCACACUAGAAUGGUUGGUUCAAAGCCCUCCGGCCUUUCAUACUUUUGGAGAACUUCCUGCGGUAAAAGAGACAAAAAGUUAA
rnacentral:rRNA from 1 species